rnacentral:tmRNA from 1 species
GGGGGUGAAAGGGUUCGACUUAAAGCAACUGGGUAAGGGCAGCAUGCCGCGGAUGCAAGGUAGGCCGCGUUAACAAUCCUUGCACAAUACAAACGCAAACACACCAGUGUUCAGUCGUGCACCAAUGGCAACAUUGAUGCCGGCUGGCGUUCCAGCCUUAGGGUUUAAUUAAACCCUAAGCCACUUUUCGUCUUUCCUACGUGGCGAAAAAGUGCACUAGUAGGAUAGCUUAGGAAAAUUUGCCUUUGGGGCCUGAGCGAAAUUCAAAAAGGCUGCGUCUUGCGCAAUCUUGUUCACUGGAGUGCGCAAGAUUAAGUUUAAAAAAUGAACUAAGCAUGUAGCGGCUUUUAUCUGGUUAUUUAAGGACGGCGGUCCAAUUCCGCCCACCUCCACCA